UACCCGAAGAAGAUUUACCCCAUCGGACUUGUAAGAAUAAAAACUACAUCCCUAGGCUCAUGUUCUUGUGUGUUUGCGCUCGACCAAGGUUUAGGGAUGAGGUUUGCACUUUUGAUGGUAGGAUUGGAUGUUUCCCACUUGUUCAUUAUGAACCGGCUAUGAGAGGUAAUGAGAGGACCGGCCGUGUUCGUGGAGACAUGGUUAUGAAACCCAUUACAUCGAUCACUAGAGAUGUGAUUAGGGAUUUCAUGAUCAACCAAGUGUUGCCGGCCAUUAGAUCCAAAUGGCCAAGAGAAGAUGUGGGUAGACCAAUCUUCAUCCAACAAGACAAUGCACCCUCUCAUUUGAAAGUGGAUGAUCCGGAAUUUUGUGCGGCCGCUAAGCUAGGAGGAUUUGAUAUCCGCCUAAUUUGUCAACCACCAAACUCUCCGGAUUUCAACAUUCUUGACUUGGGUUUCUUUCGAGCAAUACAAGCAAUUCAAUAUAAGAAGGAUGCAAAAUCUGUAGAGGCUCUAGUUCCAACCGUCAAAGAGGCUUUUAUGGAGUACUCGGCACACCUAGCAAACCGGAUGUUUCUAACACUACAAGGUGUCUUCAUGGAAGCAAUGAAAGUGAAAGGUUGCAACAAGUUUCAGAUUCCUCACAUGAAAAAAGAAACUCUAGAAAGAGAAGAUCGGCUUCCAUCUUGUAUCCCUUGUGAUCCAUCAGUGCUUCAUGAAGCCGAGGCUAGUCUUGCCGAGGAGUACUCAUUCUUGCUGCAUGAAACAAUUUGAUUGAUGCUUGUUAGCUUUUGUAGUAGAGACGUCAUCCUUUCUUGUUGCCGAUUGUUGCAUGGACUGAAUUUGUAAUGAUGCAUGAAUUAAAUUAUCUUACCGAUGCUUCCUCUGUCGGUAGCCA